rnacentral:tRNA from 1 species
AGCCCUAUAGUCUAGCGGUCAAGGAUACGGGACUCUGGAUCCCGUGACCCAGGUUCGAAUCCUGGUAGGGCUA